CCUACGGGAGGCAGCAGUGGGGAAUUUUGGACAAUGGGCGCAAGCCUGAUCCAGCAAUGCCGCGUGCAGGAUGAAGGCCUUCGGGUUGUAAACUGCUUUUGUACGGAGCGAAACGGUCUGCUUUAAUACAGUGGGCUAAUGACGGUACCGUAAGAAUAAGCACCGGCUAACUACGUGCCAGCAGCCGCGGUAAUACGUAGGGUGCGAGCGUUAAUCGGAAUUACUGGGCGUAAAGCGUGCGCAGGCGGUUAUAUAAGACAGAUGUGAAAUCCCGGGCUCAACCUGGGACCUGCAUUUGUGACUGUAUAGCUAGAGUACGGUAGAGGGGGAUGGAAUUCCGCGUGUAGCAGUGAAAUGCGUAGAUAUGCGGAGGAACACCGAUGGCGAAGGCAAUCCCCUGGACCUGUACUGACGCUCAUGCACGAAAGCGUGGGGAGCAAACAGGAUUAGAUACCCUGGUAGUCCACGCCCUAAACGAUGUCAACUGGUUGUUGGGUCUUCAACUGACUCAGUAACGAAGCUAACGCGUGAAGUUGACCGCCUGGGGAUACGGCCGCAAGGUUGAAACUUAAGGAAUUGACGG
rnacentral:rRNA from 1 species